rnacentral:rRNA from 1 species
GAUGAACGCUGGCGGCGUGCUUAACACAUGCAAGUCGAACGGUGAAGCAGAGCUUGCUCUGUGGAUCAGUGGCGAACGGGUGAGUAACACGUGAGCAACCUGCCCCUGACUCUGGGAUAAGCGCUGGAAACGGCGUCUAAUACCGGAUAUGAGCUGCGAUCGCAUGGUCAGCAGUUGGAAAGAUUUUUCGGUCUGGGAUGGGCUCACGGCCUAUCAGCUUGUUGGUGAGGUAAUGGCUCACCAAGGCGUCGACGGGUAGCCGGCCUGAGAGGGUGACCGGCCACACUGGGACUGAGACACGGCCCAGACUCCUACGGGAGGCAGCAGUGGGGAAUAUUGCACAAUGGGCGAAAGCCUGAUGCAGCAACGCCGCGUGAGGGAUGACGGCCUUCGGGUUGUAAACCUCUUUUAGCAGGGAAGAAGCGAAAGUGACGGUACCUGCAGAAAAAGCGCCGGCUAACUACGUGCCAGCAGCCGCCGUAAGAC